rnacentral:rRNA from 1 species
UACGUAGGGGGCAAGCGUUAUCCGGAUUUACUGGGUGUAAAGGGAGCGUAGACGGUUGUGCAAGUCUGAAGUGAAAGCCCGGGGCCCAACCCCGGGACUGCUCUGGAAACUGCCCGGCUAGAGUGCUGGAGAGGUAAGCGGAAUUCCUAGUGUAGCGGUGAAAUGCGUAGAUAUUAGGAGGAACACCAGUGGCGAAGGCGGCUUACUGGACAGUAACUGACGUUGAGGCUCGAAAGCGUGGGGAGCAAACAGG